rnacentral:lncRNA from 1 species
UGUCAUUGCCUGACCUCCCCCCUCCUGUCUGUCCAUGCCCGAGUCCCUCCCUCUGUCGUCUGUCCCAUGCCUGUCCCCCCUCUGUCUGUCCAUGGCCCGAGUCUCCCCUCUGUCUGUCUGUCCAUGGCCUGAGCCUCCCCCCUCUGUCUGUCCAUG